rnacentral:rRNA from 1 species
CCUACGGGACGCAGCAGUGAGGAAUAUUGGUCAAUGGCCGAGAGGCUGAACCAGCCAAGUCGCGUGAGGGAAGAAUGUCCUAUGGAUUGUAAACCUCUGUCAGCAGGGAAGAACGGUCACUGUGCUAAUCAGCAGUGAAUUGACGGUACCUGCAAAGGAAGCACCGGCUAACUCCGUGCCAGCAGCCGCGGUAAUACGGAGGGUGCGAGCGUUAAUCGGAAUUACUGGGCGUAAAGCGCUCGUAGGCGGUAUGUCAAGUCAAGGGUGAAAUCCCCGCGCUCAACGUGGGAACUGCCUUUGAAACUGGCAAACUGGAGUGUGUGAGAGGAUAGUGGAAUUCCAGGUGUAGGAGUGAAAUCCGGAGAUAUCUGGAGGAACAUCAGGGGCGAAGGCGACUAUCUGGCACAUAACUGACGCUGAGGAGCGAAAGCGUGGGUAGCAAACAGGAUUAGAUACCCCAGUAGUC